rnacentral:rRNA from 1 species
UACGUAGGUGGCAAGCGUUGUCCGGAUUUAUUGGGCGUAAAGAGCUCGUAGGCGGUUCAGCAAGUCGGGUGUGAAAACUCUGGGCUCAACCCAGAGACGCCACCCGAUACUGCUGUGACUAGAGUCCGGUAGGGGAGUGGGGAAUUCCUGGUGUAGCGGUGAAAUGCACAGAUAUCAGGAGGAACACCGGUGGCGAAGGCGCCACUCUGGGCCGGCACUGACGCUGAGGAGCGAAAGCGUGGGUAGCAAACAGG